CCAGAGUCUGCUACUGGUGGGAUCCGAAUCUGAGUUACUAACACUGUUAAAUAUAGAAUAAAAUCAGCACAAGCCAAGGUACUUACCACCAGGACUAGGCUGAGACGUGCUUGGGACUGAUCGCCCUGCAGAGUAUUUUCGGUGAUCUGGAAAACAUCAAGGAUAAGAGACAGGUACUUACCAGAACUAGGCUGAGACGUGCUUGGGGCUGAUCGCCCUGCAGAGUAUUUCCGGUGAUCUGGAAAACAUCAAGGAUAAGAG